AUACCGUGCUGACCACUUUGUGUCAGACCCUUGCGAUUACCCCAAAUGUGGGUAACUCGGUCGUAUAAUUUCUGGUAGUGGGGACUGCGUUCGCGCUAUCCCCGU
rnacentral:snRNA from 10 species